rnacentral:tRNA from 1 species
GAGAGUAUAGCUCAGUGGUAGAGUGCAUGCUUAGCAUGCAUGAGGUCCUGGGUUCAAUCCCCAGUAUCUCCA